CCAUUAUAAAUUUGACGGAGGAAGGGUGUUGGACAUCACUGCAUUCAUAACUCUCAUCUUUCAAGUUUUUCACUACAUUCAACUGCAGCUAUUGUGAGGUUAUUUUCAAUUUAUUUUUCAUAAAAAUGGAUAGACGUUCUAUAUAUGGACCUCGUAAUGAGAUUGUUUUAUCUCAACAAGCCCAACAUAGGUCUGACGAUAUUCCGAAAAGUGACCUAGAUGCAGUACUAAUUUCACGGCGUGCGGAUGGUAGCUUUUGAAGUCAUUUUCACCAAAAUAAUAUGUCCGAGCGUGUACAAGAAAUUCUAUACUAAAUAGGAUUUUAUGGAGUUUACAGGUGAGGAUGCCUUCAAUUAAAUCAACACCUCAUCACUGCAUUAGUGGAGAGGUGGCGAUCGAAGACGCACACUUUUCAUUUUCGUGUAGGGGAAGCCACAAUUACCCUACAAGAUGUACAAAUAAUUUGGGCACUCCCAAUAGACGGCGAGCCGUUGACUGGAAUUGAUUUCGACCGCACAACACAACAAUGGUAAGAAUAUUGCCUUACUUACAUAGGCUUUAGCCCGGAUGCAAAUGUGUUGAAGGGCUCGAGAUUACAGACAUCCGCAAUUACAUCUCAUUUGGCGACGGUCGAAAUCACUUAUAAUACUCCCCAUGCUGUCGUCGUCCAGUACACACGUGUCGUUGCAUUACUUCUAUUUGUGGGAUUGACGUGCCCAAAUUUCUUAGGUAACUAUGUCUCAUUACUAUAUCUCUCAAAAUUAGAAGAUAUAGAAACCACGAGGAACUAUAAUUGGGGGAGUGCUGUGCUGACAUGUUUAUAUCGCGAAUUAUGCAAUGCCAGCACAAAAGGCAAAGCGGCAAUUGGUGGGGCGCUGCAAUUGCUACAGAUUUGGGCAUGAUCACGGAUUACGCCACUUUGUCCUGGGCUUGGUGCCCAAUGGUUAUUUAUGGGCCAAGUCCAAAUGGACAGCAAUCGCUGGCUCCCAAUAGCACCAUAUGGUGCUACUUGGAAUUGUCAGCACACUUUCACCACUACAGUUCGGGGAACUGUCCGAGUCAUACGAGAAAUAUUGGAUGAGAUGCAGGCUGAUUAGCUGUAUCACAUGGACUCGGAUGUCAUUAUGGCUUACGCCGAUAAAUUGAACCCUCAGUUGUGGAGGUUAUCCGUUCCAUUGAUAUUCUACGCAAUAGUUGAAAUGCAUCGUCCCGAACGGGUUGUUCGCCAAUUCAGGAUGAGGCAGAAUGUACCAGAAUCGACGGAUAGCCGUGAUAUGAGCCUCCAUCAGAUUUCCCGUAAAAAUCACGCGGGCGCAGAUUGGUCCCUGCAACACAUACAAUAUAUCACUAGAUGGCAAAAACGAUAUGACACAGUUGUACAUAGGCCACUCAUUUCCAAUAGAAGGGAAACAGAACGAGGUUAUUGGGAAUGAUACUACAACAUAACAAGAAAUUUCGUGUCGUCAUCUACUGAUAGACGUGUGGAAAGCGGGUACCAACCUGGAGAAGCACCUAUGUUGCAAGUUGUGACAAAUGAGGUGAAUGCCUUUGAAACUUUAUGUCGAUCUAGACCACCAAAUAUCGAAGGAUAUAGUCAAUUAGUGGAUAGAUUUGAACAUGGGUUACAUAUUAUCAAGGAAGUUAUAACCCAACAGCCACAACAAAUUGUUUCUCCAUCCGAUGAUGCUCCCACAACAUCCCACAGGCAAAGAAGAAGUUCUAGCCGAAUGUCAACUAGUUCAGUUGAAUGUCAUGAUAUUGGGGUGGAUAUAGCUGGUCCUUCUACAGUAUAUCCACCUCAAGAUUAUUACGUACCUCAACCGCCUCAAGAUUAUUAUAUGCCUCAACCGUCUCAAGGUGGUUGGUUUCAAUAGACUCCAUAUAUGUCAAACCAAACACAAGAUUAUUCUCUUGACCUUGAUUUUGGUAUUAAUCAACCAUAUACACAAAGAUAUAAUAUUUCACCAAUUCCAUUUCCAUCAUUUGGUGCAUAUCAUGACAAUAUGGAGUCAAGUUCCGCAACAACAUCAAGUCGAUUUGGUGGUGAUGAAAAUGAGGCGCAAAAUGAGCCAGCUCAAAAUGUGGGCGAGAAAAUAAGAAAACCUCGAUGUCAACGCCACAGACGGAAUUGUGGAACAGG